AACGAAAGGGGCCAAUCACUCGAGGGCUCGGCACCUGGCACAAGAUUUUCCGAAAAUCUAAAAUCGAGGGGGAGAUUCCUGUACUGCGGGUGCCGUGCAUUGUCUGCUCUUGCUUGGCAUCGGCCGUCACCCUUGUGUGGCGCCUGCGAGUAACGGAAUGAAGCGGAUUGUGGCACCGAAGCGAUGGUCCGCCGUAAACCGUGUUGAGCAUCCUCCGCUUAUGCCUAAGCAGCUCUUGCAGGGCGUCUGCGGCGGGCUGCGGUGGCUCGAGUCUAAGAACCUCGCUGAGUUUUUGGCAAAACGCGCCAUCGAAGAAGGGUUCCCCUGUACGAAAAAGCAGCAGAGGGUUUUCGAUGCGCGACUGCCAUCAUCGCGUCCAGCGCUUCGCAAGCGCCGACUGCACAAAAAGUGUCCAGCGCGUCGUUCUGGCGGGGAUGUGCAACUGACCGAGGGUAGUCUGGAGGCGCAGCGCACGACAGGUGUCAGUGGCGCCCUCGUCUCUUCCGGCGCAUCGCUUGCGUUGAACUCGUCUGCCUUCGAUGCUCUGGCGCCACUGGCCAAGCGGAAGCGGCUCGUUUCGUAUGAUGUUUUGGACUGUACAUUCGGCUCUGGCUUUCACACCGGUGUGGUGCUCGAGAACGGUCGGCCGUACACGCGAGUUGUUGCGAUGGACUGCGACGUGGAGGCGACGGUAAGCGCGCGCGAGAUCGUUGAUGAGUUCGGCGCGGACCGGUUUCGAUUCUACGCGCGUCCCAUGUCUGAGGCCAAGGCCAUGUUUGGCGAGCGUUCCUUUGAUGCCGUUAUGAUCGACCCUGGCCCGUCGUUGACUCAACUGGAGAAUCCCGAGCGAGGGUUUCUUCUGGAUGAUGAGAGUGACCAUGCACUCGACAUGCGCUACGGGCCCACGCAUGGGCUCGGGGCGCUGGAGUACCUCAACACGGUGCCGCAGCAUGCCCUGUCCGGCGCCCUCGCUUCCUACGAACUUCUAACUCCUCAGCAGUCGAUGAAGUUGGCUAGAGCCAUUCGGCAACGGCGCCCCUUCGAUGGUGCGCAGCGCGUGCUGGAGGCAGUGGAGGAGGCGGGUAACGAGCUCCCUGAGGAGGGAUGGGGGACUCAGGAUAGCCGACGGAAGACUUCGAUGUCUUGGAACUUCAUGACAUCGUUGAGAUGCAUCGUGAACCACGAGCGCCACGAGCUGAGCGAGGCCCUGCAGAACGCACUGCUGCUCCUGCGCACUGACGGCCGACUUGUUGUCUUUUCUCGUCUCCCGUGGGAGGAGAAGCUCAUCUCCACCACUAUCAGUCAGCACCCGCACGCUCUGCUAAGUUACUCGGAGGCUAUUCCCAUCGAGGAUGUGCAGGAUCACGGCCACUCACGCCACACAAAGAUGUGGAUUGCCACUCGCACCCAAAGUUCCUCGUACGUGCUCAAGAACAGUCAGGCACUCACAGAGGAGGCGGUGCAGGAGAGCUCGAUGCGGUGGAUGAGCGGCCUCUUCGCUGGUCAAACGUUUGGGUUCCCGGCGAAUAACUUCACAUUUGAGAACAAGGAUGGGAAGGACUGGGCAGCAGUGCGCAGAAACAAGGACUCGCCACCCUUCGACCGCGAUGAUGACCCUAGAGGCUAAAGCACGCGAAGCUUAAGGGGAGUGUGGUGAGGGGAAGAAGGCGAGGGCGUGUCCUGUGCGCUGAGAGCUGGACUCCUGCACAUCGUGCGCUUCGUUCGUGAUGGAGUUGCCAAUCCAAUUACACCGCCCCGACCCAGCAAAGAAGCCCUCUACUUGCUGGAGUAUGUUUCUCGGCCCCCUCCUCCUCGCGCGCACUCUUCGGAGCGAUGAGGACGUACGACUGCAUGCCGUGAUCAUCCCAUGCUGCUGUUUUGCGUUCGCCUUACGUUUGAUGUUACACACUCACAGAUACGGAAAAACGCGUUGAUGAGCAUGAAAUGUGCGAACACC
rnacentral:misc_RNA from 1 species